rnacentral:rRNA from 1 species
UAAUACGAAGGACCCAAGCGUUAUCCGGAUUUAUUGGGUUUAAAGGGUGCGUAGGCGGAUUUGUAAGUCAGUGGUGAAAUCCUGCAGCUUAACUGCAGAACUGCCAUUGAAACUGCUUAUCUUGAGUACAUUUGAGGCGGGCGGAAUGUGUCAUGUAGCGGUGAAAUGCUUAGAUAUGACACAGAACACCGAUUGCGAAGGCAGCUCGCUAAACUGUAACUGACGCUGAUGCACGAAAGCGUGGGGAUCCAACAGGAUUAGAUACCCUGGUAGUCCACGCCCUAAACGAUGAUAACUCGAUGUGUGCGAUACACUGUACGCGUCUGAGCGAAAGCAUUAAGUUAUCCACCUGGGAAGUACGACCGCAAGGUUG